UCGGGAAUUUUGGGCAAUGGGCGAAAGCCUGACCCAGCAACGCCGCGUGAGGGAUGAAGUAUUUCGGUAUGUAAACCUCGAAAGAAUGGGAAGAAUAAAUGACGGUACCAUUUAUAAGCUCCGGCUCACUACGUGCCAGCAGCCGCGGUAAUACGUAGGGAGCAAGCGUGGUUCGGAUUUACUGGGCGUAAAGGGCGCGUAGGCGGCGCGGUAAGUCACUUGUGAAAUCUCUGAGCUUAACUCAGAACGGCCAAGUGAUACUGCUGUGCUAGAGUGCAGAAGAGGCAACCGGAAUUCUUGGUGUAGCGGUGAAAUGCGUAGAUAUCAAGAGGAACACCUGAGGCGAAGGCGGCUUGCUGGGCCGAAACUGACGCUGAUGCGCGAAAGCCAGGGGAGCAAACG
rnacentral:rRNA from 1 species